UCGGCCCCGCAAGGGACUGACUUAGUGGCGAACGGGUGAGUAACGCGUGAGCAACCUGCCUUUCAGUGGGGGACAACAGUUGGAAACGACUGCUAAUACCGCAUAAUGAAUUUUGACCGCAUGAUCGAGAUGCCAAAGGUUUAUUGCUGAAAGAUGGGCUCGCGUCUGAUUAGAUAGUUGGUGGGGUAACGGCCCACCAAGUCGACGAUCAGUAGCCGGACUGAGAGGUUGAACGGCCACAUUGGGACUGAGAUACGGCCCAGACUCC
rnacentral:rRNA from 1 species